rnacentral:lncRNA from 1 species
AGACACUCAGGUCUAAUCUAGUUCCUUGUUCCUCUUGUGAAUUCUCAGCCACCUUCAACCCUGCUCCGGAACUGUGGCCUCUUAACCCGCCGUUCCCUGCAGGUUCUCUCUGCUUCUGCCCAGAAGUAGGGCAAAGAGCUUUUUCCCCACUCAGAGCUGACCUUUCACCCAGCACUGGGCCUCCUGCUAAGCCUCUUGUUUACUGCGGGCUCACCAGGGAUGUGUGUCAGACGGUCACCAGCCGUGCUCUUGGCAGAGGAGCUGGGGCACUGACCUGUUCCUCCCCCUUUUCCACAGGUAUGUCUCCUGUGCCCUCGGAUGUCCCUACGAGGGGAAGGUCUCCCCGGCUAAAGUUGCUGAGGCCACCUCCUUGGCAGGUCUCUCUACCCCACCUGAAAGCCCCAGUCCAGCUUCCAGUCUCAUCAGCUAAGGCAUGAUCUCCAGUGUGGUGUUCCCCAGGAACCCCCCAGCUUCCUUGGAGUAGGUCGCCAAGAAGUUGUACUCAAUGGGCUGCUAUGAGAUCUCCCUUGGGGACACCAUUGGCGUAGGCACGCCAGGACUCAUGAAAGACAUGCUGACUGCUGUCCUGCAUGAAGUGCCUGUGGCCGCAUUGGCUGUCCACUGCCAUGACACCUAUGGCCAAGCUCUGGCCAACACGUUGGUGGCCCUGCAG